rnacentral:rRNA from 1 species
CUAACACAUGCAAGUCGAACGCUAUCUUGUAUAGAGUGGCGCACGGGUGAGUAACGCGUGGGAACCUGCCUUUCUCUGCGGGACAACGGUUGGAAACGGCCGCUAAUACCGCAUACGCCCUACGGGGGAAAGGUCAGCCGGAGAAAGAGGGGCCCGCGUUUGAUUAGCUAGUUGGUGGGGUAAUGGCCUACCAAGGCAACGAUCAAUAGCUGGUCUGAGAGGAUGAUCAGCCACACUGGGACUGAGACACGGCCCAGACUCCUACGGGAGGCAGCAGUGGGGAAUAUUGGACAAUGGGGGCAACCCUGAUCCAGCAAUGCCGCGUGUGUGAUGAAGGCCCUAGGGUUGUAAAGCACUUUCACUGGUGAAGAUGAUGACGGUAACCAGAGAAGAAGCCCCGGCUAACUUCGUGCCAGCAGCCGCGGUAAUACGAAGGGGGCGAGCGUUGUUCGGAAUU